UCAUUUUGGACAGCUCCCUCAUCCUCUCUUUAACCUCAAAAUCUGUGUCAUGUAAGGUCCCUAGACAGUUAUCCGACGGUUCUAAACCUAAAACAUAGCAUCCACCGAGCCACACAUUGCCACACUCUCCACCCUUAAAACAGAAACAGCUAAAACGUACCGUCACUGAACAGACAACCCUAAAUGCACCUACCAGUAGCAGGAUCAGCUGCAGUACCGUGGGGUCAGCACUUUCAGCCAGCCAAAACAAACCAACACGGCAAACGAACAGGCAAAGCCAGAAAGACCCUUUUUUUCUUCUUUUAUCUUUUUUCCCCUCUUUUGGAGCUCUCACUUCUUCUUAAAUAAACAAGAAAAAGUAGGAUUAAGGUUGUUUUGGGUUAUUCUUAUUUUUUGUUGUUGAAGUAAAGAGUUUCUAGAGAUAGAAGUGGGGGGAAAUGGUGAACCCAAGAUGUUAUAUGGACAUAAGUAUAGGAGGAGAAUUCGAAGGGAGGAUAGUAAUAGAGUUGUAUAAGGAUGUUGUGCCCAAAACUGCUGAAAAUUUCAGGGCUUUGUGCACCGGUGAGAAAGGCGUUGGACCCAACACUGGUGUUUCUCUGCAUUACAAGGGUAUGCGAUUUCAUCGGAUUAUCAGAGGUUUUAUGAUACAAGGUGGGGAUAUAUCAGCUGGUGAUGGAACUGGAGGAGAAUCCAUUUAUGACUUGAAAUUUGAAGAUGAAAAUUUUGAGUUAAAACAUGAAAGAAAAGGAAUGUUAUCAAUGGCUAAUAUGGGGCCUAAUACUAAUGGAUCUCAAUUCUUUAUUACAACUAACCGAACACCGCAUCUUGAUGGAAAACAUGUGGUUUUUGGGAAAGUUAUAAAGGGAAUGGGGGUUGUUCGUUCGAUUGAGCAUGUUGCUACCAAGGAUGGUGAUUACCCCACUCAAGAGGUUAUAAUUGCAGAUUGUGGAGAAAUUCCCGAAGGGGCAGAUGAUGGAAUAUCAAACUUUUUUAAGGAUGGUGAUAUUUAUCCUGAUUGGCCGGCUGACCUUGACAAAAAGCCUGAUGAAAUUUCUUGGUGGAUGGAGGCAGUGGACUCGAUCAAAGCAGUUGGAAAUGAGCAAUACAAGAAACAAGACUAUAAAGUUGCUCUCAGAAAAUAUUGGAAGGCUUUGCGCUACUUGGAUGUAUGUUGGGAGAAAGAGGGCAUCGAUGAAGCGAAGAGCUCAUCUUUGCAGAAGACCAAAUCUCAGAUAUUUACAAACAGUUCUAUUCUCAUUAAUGGAAUCAGCUUUAUAAUGGUUGGUUUGGCAGUAUGUGAUAGCCUGCAAGUUGAAACUAGGCGAUCUAAAAGGAGCAUUGCUGGACACAGACUUUGCAAUUCGAGUUGGAGAAGAUAAUGUGAAAGCUUUCUUUCGCCAAGGCCAGGCAUACAUGGCACUUAAUGACAUUGAUGCUGCAGUAGAAAGCUUUAAAAAGGCAUUGGACUUGGAGCCAAAAGAUGGUUAGUGCAAUAUUUUCUCCUCUCCUUGAAAACAAUCUUCCAUUUUCUUCCUCCCCUUUUAUUCUUUUGAGGUUAAAAGGGGAUUUUUAGGCUUUGAGUCAUCGAUUUAAUUUGCAUAUAGAAAUGUGUGGAACUUAAAUGUUGAAUAAUUGUUAACCUAGAUUAUUUGCAUUGUCCUUGGUACUCAUUCAUCUACACCGCGUUUUCUUCCCUACAGGCGGAAUAAAGAAAGAACUUGCAGCUGCGAGGAAGAAGAUCGCUGCUAGACGAGACCAGGAGAAAAAGGCGUACUCUAGAAUGUUUCAGUAG